rnacentral:rRNA from 1 species
GACGAACGCUGGCGGCGUGCCUAAUACAUGCAAGUCGAGCGAAGUUUUUCUGGUGCUUGCACUAGAAAAACUUAGCGGCGAACGGGUGAGUAACACGUAAAGAACCUGCCUCAUAGACUGGGACAACUAUUGGAAACGAUAGCUAAUACCGGAUAACAGCAUUAACUGCAUGGUUGAUGUUUAAAAGUUGGUUUUGCUAACACUAUGAGAUGGCUUUGCGGUGCAUUAGCUAGUUGGUGGGGUAAAGGCCUACCAAGGCGACGAUGCAUAGCCGACCUGAGAGGGUGAUCGGCCACACUGGGACUGAGACACGGCCCAGACCCCUACGGGAGGCAGCAGUAGGGAAUCUUCCGCAAUGGGCGAAAGCCUGACGGAGCAACGCCGCGUGAGUGAAGAAGGAUUUCGGUUCGUAAAGCUCUGUUGUUAGGGAAGAAUGAUUGUGUAGUAACUAUACACAGUAGAGACGGUACCUAACCAGAAAGCCACGGCUAACUACGUGCCAGCAGCCGCGGUAAUACGUAGGUGGCAAGCGUUGUCCGGAAUUAUUGGGCGUAAAGCGCGCGCAGGUGGUUUAAUAAGUCUGAUGUGAAAGCCCACGGCUCAACCGUGGAGGGUCAUUGGAAACUGUUAAACUUGAGUGCAGGAGAGAAAAGUGGAAUUCCUAGUGUAGCGGUGAAAUGCGUAGAGAUUAGGAGGAACACCAGUGGCGAAGGCGGCUUUUUGGCCUGUAACUGACACUGAGGCGCGAAAGCGUGGGGGGCAAACAGG